rnacentral:rRNA from 1 species
UGCAGUCGAGGGGUAGAAGUCUUCGGACUUUGAGACCGGCGCACGGGUGCGUAACGCGUAUGCAAUCUACCUUUUACAGAGGGAUAGCCCAGAGAAAUUUGGAUUAAUACCUCAUAGUAUUAUGAAAUGGCAUCAUUUUAUAAUUAAAGUCACAACGGUAAAAGAUGAGCAUGCGUCCCAUUAGCUAGUUGGUAAGGUAACGGCUUACCAAGGCUACGAUGGGUAGGGGUCCUGAGAGGGAGAUCCCCCACACUGGUACUGAGACACGGACCAGACUCCUACGGGAGGCAGCAGUGAGGAAUAUUGGACAAUGGGCGCAAGCCUGAUCCAGCCAUGCCGCGUGCAGGAUGACGGUCCUAUGGAUUGUAAACUGCUUUUAUACGAGAAGAAACACUCCUUCGUGAAGGAGCUUGACGGUAUCGUAAGAAUAAGGAUCGGCUAACUCCGUGCCAGCAGCCGCGGUAAUACGGAGGAUCCAAGCGUUAUCCGGAAUCAUUGGGUUUAAAGGGUCCGUAGGCGGUUUAAUAAGUCAGUGGUGAAAGCCCAUCGCUCAACGGUGGAACGGCCAUUGAUACUGUUAAACUUGAAUUAUUAGGAAGUAACUAGAAUAUGUAGUGUAGCGGUGAAAUGCUUAGAGAUUACAUGGAAUACCAAUUGCGAAGGCAGGUUACUACUAAUGGAUUGACGCUGAUGGACGAAAGCGUGGGUAGCGAACAGGAUUAGAUACCCUGGUAGUCCACGCCGUANACGAUGGAUACUAGCUGUUGGGAGCAAUCUCAGUGGCUAAGCGAAAGUGAUAAGUAUCCCACCUGGGGAGUACGUUCGCAAGAAUGAAACUCAAAGGAAUUGACGGGGGCCCGCACAAGCGGUGGAGCAUGUGGUU